CAAUAGCGUAUAUUAAAGUUGUUGCAGUUAGAACGCUCGUAGUCGGAUUUCGGGGCGGGUCGACCGGUCUGCCGAUGGGUAUGCACUGGCCGACGCGUCCUUCCUUCCGGAGACCGUCUCACUCUUAACUGAGCGGAGGCGGGAGACGGAAUUUUUACUUUGAAAAAAUCAGAGUGUUUCAAGCAGGCAGCUCGCUCUUGCAUGGAUUAGCAUGGGAUAAUGAAAUAGGACUUUGGUGCUAUUUUGUUGGUUUCGAACACCGAAGUAAUGAUGAGAAGGGACAGUCAGGGGCACUCGUAUUCCGCCGAGAGAGGUGAAAUUCUCAGACCAGCGGAAGACGAACCACUGCGAAAGCAUUUGCCAGGGAUGUUUNCACUGA
rnacentral:rRNA from 1 species